rnacentral:tRNA from 1 species
GUUGGUAUAGCGCAGUGGUAGAUCAUGUGCUUAGUAUGCACAAGGUACUGGGUUCAAUCCCCAGUACCUCCA